UACAGAGGUGGCAAGCGUUGUUCGGAAUUACUGGGCGUAAAGGGCGCGUAGGCGGCUUGGUCAGUCCCGUGUGAAAUCCCUCGGCUCAACUGAGGAACUGCACGGGAAACAACUAGGCUUGAGUUCGGGAGAGGGAAGCGGAAUUCCGGGUGUAGCGGUGAAAUGCGUAGAUAUCCGGAGGAACACCGGUGGCGAAGGCGGCUUCCUGGACCGACACUGACGCUGAGGCGCGAAAGCUAGGGGAGCAAACGGGAUUAGAUACCCGAGUAGUCC
rnacentral:rRNA from 1 species